rnacentral:rRNA from 1 species
AGUGAACGCUGGCGGUAGGCCUAACACAUGCAAGUCGAACGGCAGCACAGUAAGGGCUUGCUCUUACGGGUGGCGAGUGGCGGACGGGUGAGGAAUACAUCGGAAUCUACUUUUUCGUGGGGGAUAACGUAGGGAAACUUACGCUAAUACCGCAUACGUCCUACGGGUGAAAGCAGGGGAUCUUCGGACCUUGCGCGAUUGAAUGAGCCGAUGUCGGAUUAGCUAGUUGGCGGGGUAAAGGCCCACCAAGGCGACGAUCCGUAGCUGGUCUGAGAGGAUGAUCAGCCACACUGGAACUGAGACACGGUCCAGACUCCUACGGGAGGCAGCAGUGGGGAAUAUUGGACAAUGGGCGCAAGCCUGAUCCAGCCAUACCGCGUGGGUGAAGAAGGCCCUCGGGUUGUAAAGCCCUUUUGUUGGGAAAGAAAAGCAGCAGGUUAAUACCCCGCUGUUCUGACGGUACCCAAAGAAUAAGCACCGGCUAACUUCGUG